GUGAGGUAACGGCUCACCAAGGCUUUGACGGGUAGCCGGCCUGAAAGGGUGAUCGGCCACACUGGCACUGAGACGCGGGCCAGACUCCUACGGGAGGCAGCAGUGGGGAAUUUUGGACAAUGGGGGCAACCCUGAUCCAGCGACGCCGCGUGGAGGACGAAGGUCUUCGGAUUGUAAACUCCUUUUAGAGGGGAUGAACGACCUGGUGAAUAGCCAGGCCUGACAGUACUCUUUGAAUAAGCCACGGCUAACUACGUGCCAGCAGCCGCGGUAAUACGUAGGUGGCAAGCGUUACUCGGAAUCACUAGGCGUAAAGCGCAGGUAGGCGGUUCGGUAAGUCUUUUGUGAAAGCUCCUGGCUCAACUGGGAGAGGUCAAAGGAAACUACCGGGCUAGAGUGUGGUAGGGGAUACUGGAAUUCCUGGUGUAGCGGUGAAGUGCGUAGAUAUCAGGAGGAAUACCUAUGGCGAAAGCAGGUAUCUGGGGCCAUCACUGACGCUGAGCUGCGAAAGCUAGGGGAGCAAACAGGAUUAGAUACCCUGGUAGUCCUAGCCCUAAACGAUGCUCAUUAGAUGUGGGAGGUAUCGACCCCUUCCGCGUCGCAGCUAACGCAUUAAAUGAGCCGCCUGGGGAGUACGGCCGCAAGGUUG
rnacentral:rRNA from 1 species